rnacentral:misc_RNA from 1 species
AGUGGUCUUCCUGCAUAAGUGUCUGCAUUACUUUCAUUCAACACAACUUGUAAUUUCAAGGUAUAAUUCCCCAACUUCUGAAUAUUUUCCAUUUUUUUAAACCAGUAAGGCCAUUUUCCUCCAUGUUGACUAAUAUGCGAAAUAAUCUCUUUAUUUCCACUUGAAGAAUGUAAAAUAACUUUGAGCUCAACCAGGAGUUUCUU